rnacentral:rRNA from 1 species
ACCGAAUAGAUACCCGGGUAGUCCACGCCCUAAACGAUGCGAACUGGAUGUUGGGUACAUUACGGUACUCAGUGUCGAAAGCUAAACGCGUUAAGUUCGCCGCCUGGGGAGUACGGUCGCAAGACUGAAACUCAAAGGAAUUGACGGGGGCCCGCACAAGCGGUGGAGUAUGUGGUUUAAUUCGAUGCAACGCGAAGAACCUUACCUGGCCUUGACAUCUGUCGAAUCCUGCAGAGAUGCGGGAGUGCCGCAAGGAACGACAAGACAGGUGCUGCAUGGCUGUCGUCAGCUCGUGUCGUGAGAUGUUGGGUUAAGUCCCGCAACGAGCGCAACCCUUGUCCCUAGUUGCCAGCACGUAAUGGUGGGAACUCUAGGGAGACUGCCGGUGACAAACCGGAGGAAGGUGGGGAGUGACGUCAAGUCCGUCAUGGCCCGUUA